UGAGCAAUCUGCCCUUCUCAUCGGAAUAAGCGUUGGAAACGACGUCUAAUGCCGAAUACGACCUCCUUUCGCAUGAUCGGAGGUGGAAAGCUCCGGCGGAGAAGGAUGAGCUCGCGGCCUAUCAGCUAGUUGGUGUGGGUAAUGGCCCACCAAGGCGACGACGGGUAGCCGGCCUGAGAGGGUGACCGGCCACACUGGGACUGAGACGCGGCCCAGACUCCUACGGGAGCAG
rnacentral:rRNA from 1 species